AAUCAACGCUGGCGGCGUGCCUCAGACAUGCAAGUCGAACGAUUAAACUUUCCUUCGGGAAAGAUAUAAAGUGGCGCACGGGUGAGUAACACGUAAGUAAUCUACCUUCGAGUGGGGAAUAACGUCCGGAAACGGACGCUAAUACCGCAUAAUGCAGCGGCACCUAAUGGUGACAGUUGUUAAAGAUUUAUCGCUUGAAGAGGAGCUUGCGGCAGAUUAGCUAGUUGGUAAGGUAAUGGCUUACCAAGGCUACGAUCUGUAACCGAUCUAAGAGGACGGUCGGUCACACUGACACUGAAUAACGGGUCAGACUCCUACGGGAGGCAGCAGUCGGGAAUUUUGGGCAAUGGGCGAAAGCCUGACCCAGCAACGCCGCGUGAAGGAUGAAGUAUUUCGGUAUGUAAACUUCGAAAGAAUUGGAAGAAGCAAUGACGGUACCAUUUAUAAGGUCCGGCUAACUACGUGCCAGCCGCCGCCGUAACAC
rnacentral:rRNA from 1 species